GAGAGAUGGCUGAGCUGGUCUAAGGCGCACGACUGGAAAUCGUGUUUGGAGUAAUCCUCCAACAAGGGUUCGAAUCCCUUUCUCUCC
rnacentral:tRNA from 3 species